rnacentral:lncRNA from 1 species
AUGGCUCCACCUGAAUCUGAGACACCUUGCACUUUUACUCAAACAUUAACCAAAGUAUUUGGGUAAUUACAAAAGUAUAAAAUGAUGACACGAAGUUACAAUUCAAAUACUUUACUCCUUAACACGGGAAUAAGACUCAAGAAUAGAGUAUUACAAAACAAAUACAAGACUAAAAUAAAACUCUCUCAUAGAGUUGAUAUUUUCUCUAAAGUUCUACGUCUUCACAAAGGAGAUUUCCU